AUCGCUUCUCGGCCUAUCGGCUAAGAUCAAGUAGAAAUAACUGUUCUUUUGAGUUUAAUAGCUCAAACGUGGUCCAUGUGGCCACAUGCUAUUAACCCUAUUUUUUUACACUGAGGUGAAGUGAAAGCUUGCUUUCCUCACCUCACGGGUUGCCCUGGUAUUGCAGUAUCUCCAGGUGCGGCCCAUUUCUU
rnacentral:snRNA from 1 species